GCUAAUUUCCGUACUCUGCCGUGUGGCUACAACGAAACCCUGCUUGGAGUCAAAGCUUGGUUUGUGUGCAAAAAGUAAAUCCCGUGAUGACUGGCCUAAAAGUUGCAAAGGGAGGGUCAAAGACAUACACAAGCGUUAAGGUGCCAAAGAAGAAAUCGUUUGAAACUGUACCGUUGAACUAUGAAAACGAGACCGUUACACAAUAUCUCACUGCGAAAUCAGAGCCCGACACAUGUUGCAGAGAAAGUCCCGGUUACACUCGCUAUAGAGAACGUGAGCCUCCGCGUCUAGAUGAGAGAUGGGCCGUAAUCCUUGCGGUUAUCUUCCUAGGAGCAGUUGUCACAGGAAUCAUGCUGGUUGCCUAUUAUCAGCCGUACCUAGGCAUAAAGGAAUGACAAGCCUGUUUCAUCACGCUACGGCCGAAAUGUGGUCAGGAACGCGUCGAUUUUUGUUAGAAUGAACGGGCGUGGGAGAUUUUGAAUUUGUGCGAGUAGCCGUCAUUAAAAUACCCGACUUUCACCUGGGAGAUUUCCCUGGUAAAGCCAGUUUGUUGGAGCUAACAGGAUAUGGGCGCUACUCAAGCACGAUCCCUGCAAGUCUUCUAAGCGACAAUACGUUAUGAAAUAAAUUUGAAAUUAACCUAUUCAGGAUUUG